CUUAUCAAUAAGCGGAGGAAAAGAAACUAACAAGGAUUCCCCUAGUAGCGGCGAGCGAAGCGGGAAGAGCUCAAAUUUAUAAUCUGGCACUUUCAGUGUCCGAGUUGUAAUCUCUAGAAGUGUUUUCCGCGUUGGACCGCACACAAGUCUGUUGGAAUACAGCGGCACAGUGGUGACACCCCCGUACACGGUGCGGACGCCCAGCGCUUUGUGAUACACUUUCGAAGAGUCGAGUUGUUUGGGAAUGCAGCUCAAAUUGGGUGGUAAAUUCCAUCUAAAGCUAAAUAUUGGCGAGAGACCGAUAGCGAACAAGUACCGUGAGGGAAAGAUGAAAAGCACUUUGGAAAGAGAGUUAACAGUACGUGAAAUUGUUGGAAGGGAAACGCUUGAAGUCAGACUUGCUUGCCGGAGCUUGCUUCGGUUUGCAGGCCAGCAUCAGUUUUCCGGGGUGGAUAAUGGCGGUUAGAAGGUAGCAGCUUCAGCUGUGUUAUAGCUUUCCGCUGGAUACAUCCUGGGGGACUGAGGAACGCAGCGUGCUUUUAGCGGGGGUUUCGACCUCUUCACGCUUAGGAUGCUGGUGUAAUGGCUUUAAACGACCCGUCUUGAAACAC
rnacentral:rRNA from 1 species